AUACGGAGGGUGCGAGCGUUGUUCGGAAUUACUGGGCGUAAAGAGCUUGUAGGCGGCCUGUUAAGUCUGAUGUGAAAACCCUCGGCUCAACCGAGGAAGUGCAUCGGAUACUGGCAGGCUUGAGUAUGGGAGAGGAGAGCGGAAUUCCCGGUGUAGAGGUGAAAUUCGUAGAUAUCGGGAGGAACACCAGUGGCGAAGGCGGCUCUCUGGACCAAUACUGACGCUGAGAAGCGAAAGCGUGGGGAGCAAACAGGAUUAGAAACCCCAGUAGUCC
rnacentral:rRNA from 1 species